rnacentral:rRNA from 1 species
UCUACCUACGGGAGGCAGCAGUGGGGAAUAUUGCACAAUGGGGGAAACCCUGAUGCAGCAACGCCGCGUGAGUGAAGAAGUAUUUCGGUAUGUAAAGCUCUAUCAGCAGGGAAGAAGAUGACGGUACCUGAAUAAGAAGCCCCGGGUAACUACGUGCCAGCAGCCGCGGUAAUACGUAGGGGGCAAGCGUUAUCCGGAUUUACUGGGUGUAAAGGGGGCGCAGACGGCAGCGCAAGCCAGGAGUGAAAGCCCGGGGCCCAACCCCGGGACUGCUCUUGGAACUGCGCGGCUGGAGUGCAGGAGGG